rnacentral:rRNA from 1 species
AUGGUAGGAUAGAGGCCUACCAUGGUGGUAACGGGUAACGGGGCGUUAGGGCACGACACCGGAGAGGGAGCCUGAGAAACGGCUACCACAUCCAAGGAAGGCAGCAGGCGCGCAAAUUACCCAAUCCCGACACGGGGAGGUAGUGACAAUAAAUAACAAUACAGGGUUCUUUGAAUCUUGUAAUUGGAAUGAGUACAAUUUAAAUCUCUUAACGAGGAACAAUUGGAGGGCAAGUCUGGUGCCAGCAGCCGCGGUAAUUCCAGCUCCAAUAGCGUAUAUUAAAGUUGUUGCAGUUAAAAAGCUCGUAGUUGAAUUUCGGGAUCAAUACGUCGGUCGUGCUUUCGGGAACGUACUGGCGUCAUUGGUUUCUCCUUUCUGACGAACCAUGAUGUCAUUAAUCUGGUGUUAUGGGGAGUUAGGACUGUUACUUUGAAAAAAUUAGAGUGUUUAAAGCAGGCAUUAGCUUGAAUACAUUAGCAUGGAAUAAUGAAAUAGGACGUUCGAUCCUAUUUUGUUGGUUUCUAGGAUCAACGUAAUGAUUAAUAGGGAUAGUUGGGGGCAUUAGUAUUCAAUUGUCAGAGGUGAAAUUCUUGGAUUUAUUGAAGACUAACUACUGCGAAAGCAUUUGCCAAGGAUGUUUUCAUUAAUCAAGAACGAAAGUUAGGGGAUCGAAGACGAUCAGAUACCGUCGUAGUCUUAACCAUAAACUAUGCCGACUAGGGAUCGGAUGAUGUUAAUUUUUUAAUGACUCAUUCGGCGCCUUACGGGAAACCAAAGUGUUUGGG